AUCCCUGGUCAGGUUCC
rnacentral:misc_RNA from 1 species